rnacentral:rRNA from 1 species
UACGUAGGGUGCAAGCGUUAAUCGGAAUUACUGGGCGUAAAGCGCACGUAGGCGGUUUUUUAAGUCAGAUGUGAAAGCCCCGGGCUCAACCUGGGAACUGCAUUGGAUACUGGCUUACUAGAGUGCGGUAGAGGGUGGCGGAAUUCCCGGUGUAGCAGUGAAAUGCGUAGAUAUCGGGAGGAACAUCCGUGGCGAAGGCGGCCACCUGGACCAGCACUGACACUGAGGCACGAAAGCGUGGGGAGCAAACAGG